UACGGAGGGGGCGAGCGUUAUUCGGAAUUAUUGGGCGUAAAGAGCGUGUAGGCGGCUUUACAGGUCCGUUGUGAAAACUCGAGGCUCAACCUCGAGACGCCGGUGGAAACCGUAAAGCUAGAGUCCGGAAGAGGAGAGUGGAAUUCCUGGUGUAGCGGUGAAAUGCGCAGAUAUCAGGAAGAACACCCGUGGCGAAGGCGGCUCUCUGGGACGGUACUGACGCUGAGACGCGAAAGCGUGGGGAGCGAACAGG
rnacentral:rRNA from 1 species